AUAUUUUCAAUUUUUGUUAUAGCCCUUGCGGCUGUUGAAGCCGUUAUUGGACUAUCCAUUCUUUCUUCCAUCCAUCGUAAUAGGAAAUCCACUCGUAUCAAUCAAUCUAAUUUAUUGAAUAAUUAG
rnacentral:rRNA from 1 species